UGGCAUUUUGCAAAAUACAGCAACGAAUCACACUCCCAAAUCCUUAUGACUUCAAGGGAAGGAGGCAGACCAACAUCUGGAAAAGAAACCAGACUUGAGCAUCCAAUUAUUUGAAGGUCUUGAAGAGCCGUUAGGUGAUGCAACCCUUCUGGUACCUUCGAAAGACUUGCACACUUGUAUAAUUCUAGAUAUUUAAGCUUGGAAGUCAAUAUUUGCAAUUGCAGCAACUCCUCUGCUUCUUUUCCCAGCUUUUCAAGGAGGGAAGAGUUGCCUGAAAUAACCAAACGAUCAAGAGAAAUCAAGUGUUGCAAUACUCUAUCCUCAUUCUUCAGUGAAGAUGUCAGCUCCUCACAUCCGCCAAUCCUCAAAUAUGCAACCUUCCUUAAUCCUUUGGCGAAUUCCCCUGUUUGGAACCUCACCUCUGAAAUAUUUGAAAGCCCCAGGGAAUUUAAUAACUCAAACUCAACGCCACUUGUCUCCACCACCGCUUUGCAGCCAUCUAUCCAUAAUCGACCAAUUUGUUUAUAGUUGGAAAUUGAAAUCACCAAUUCCUCGCAUUUAAUAAUUUUAAGUGUUUCUAAUGAAUCAAAGUUCUCGGGCACCUUACCCUCCAAUUGAGGACAAUUUGUGAUUGAGAGCAAUUUCAAGCAAGGGAAAACACCAAUUCCCCGAUCCCCCACAAAAGGAAGCCAUUUCUUCCAGUUGUGCAUAUCUGAAAACUCAAGAGUCUCCAGUACUGGAAAAGGCAAGCUACUCUCUCCAUAAAACUCAGGACCGACACUUUUCACUGCCGCCAUUCCUGUAAUAUAAAGUUCUUUGAGCAAAGGCAGUUGCCCAAGUGGUGGCAAGAUUUGACAAUUUUUACAUUUGUCUAAGCGUACAUGCACCAUAGUGGAGAAUAAACGAUCUCCAAUCCAUGUUGAAAAUUCUAAUCCAGCAUAACCCCUGAUGAUGAGUUUUUCAAGCUUUCUAUGAGGUUCUAAUCUGUCAAGCACGCCUAAUUGCGUUUCUUGUGUGUUAUCCGUCCAUUCUAGCACCAAUUCAUCUACUCUCUCCUUGGAUUUUAAGCCGGCCUUCCGUGCAUCCUCAGCAUCGAUCACAUUCUCCAACCUUGAGAGCGAUAAUGUCCUUCGGAGAUGGGACAGGGAUCCUAUCUCUCUUAUCCCUGAUUCAUCACUACCUUUACCCACCACAAAUUUAGGCAAAGAUUGUAGAUUUGUCAACCGACCUAGUUGCGGAGGCAUUGCUUUCAGUGAAUAUACAUCUGAGUUAUUGAGAUGACGCAGAUUCACUAGAUUCCUCAAGUUUAUGGGUAGUGCCUUCAAAUAACGACAACCUUUCAAUAUCAGUGUCUGUAAGUUGAAAAGAGUGGUUGUUGAUUCAGGCAAACUUGUUAUGUGUGUGUAAGAAAGAUCAAGAUGCCGCAGAUACUUCAAUUUACCAAUUGAAUUUGGCAGCUCAGUCACUUGAUAGCCAUUGAGAGAAAGCACCCGCAAGUAUUGCAAUUUUGGCAAUAAAUCAAAAGUAACCUUACGACUCAGAAACCUCGAUUCAUAAUACUCUGAAAUUGAAAGUGGUAGAAAAGUUCGGAAAUGUUUCACUUCAGAAAAUGCCUCAAAUCUUUUAACCACAUCAUAGCAACCAGAAAUGUAGGACGCAUGGCGGGCCUUCGUAAAACAUCCAAGUUGUACAUGAUCGCUAUUCUGCUUAUCCUCCAAUCUAAAACAAAUAUCUCCUGCUGCCCACUGUGCCAAACCAACAAUGAGGUCAUGCAUUACAUACUUUGAAUUGUUUUUGCUUGAUUUCUGAAAUAAUGACCUCGAUAAGAGAUCCUGAAAAUAGUCAGUUCCUAAAUCUUCCAUUUGCUUAUUAUGUUCUGGUUGUGGUUGAAUCAAACCCUCUGCCAUCCACAGAAGAAUCAAUUGCUGCUCACAAAAUUCAUAGUCAUUUGGAAAUAUCGAACAAUAGGCAAAGCAUCUUUUCAAAUGUGAAGGAAGAUAGUGAUAGCUUAGUCUUAAUACCGGAAGUAUGUCACACUCAUUUGAUAGACUCCAUAAUUUGUUGUUCAAUAUUUCCUCCCAUUCAUUCAUCUUUUUACUAAGUAAAAGGCCGCCAAGAGUCCUAGCAGCCAAAGGCAAUCCACUGCAUCUUGCAACAAUUUUCUCCUUGAGUGACUCGAAAUUUGGUGGUAUAUCUCUGUUAACAUUCCUGAAUGCAUGCUGCUCAAAUACUUCAAAACAAACGUCAUUUGACAUAGGCUCCAAAUUGUGAACUAGAGUGCCAGCUCCCAUCAUUUUCGAAACUUCUGCAUCACGCGUUGUCACAAUUAUCUUGCUUCCUGCUGCUCCAUCGCGAAAGGGGGACUGCAGUUUCAUCCAUAGACCAUAGCUACAGGUGCCCCAAACAUCAUCUAAAACAAUUAAAAACUUCUUCCCUGCCAAUUCCUUAUGCAGAUGUUGUUGAACCUGAUUGAAAUCUUCUGUAGGACACUGUCCGGAUGUGACUGCUCCGAGAAUCUGCUUUGUCACUCUUUCUAGGUUGAAGUCAUCAGACACGCAUACCCAAGCAGUUGGUUUAAAUUGCUCGGUUGCAUCAAUUUCAUUGAACACUUGUGCAGCAAGUGUUGUCUUUCCGACUCCAGCCAUACCAACAAUGGCAACUACAUCGAAAUUGACGGCAUUGCGCUCUUGUUUCGACAGAAAUUCCACGACCUGCCUUUUGUCUUCCUCCCUUCCAAUCACAGGUCCAUCUGGUUGACAUGUACUGGGAGGUAAAUUUUGACGUGCCUUACUGGACGACGUCGUCCCAGUAAUGAUAUUCAAACUAAGCUGGUCUUUUCGCUGAGAUAUCCCUUGUAAACGCUCAGUAAUCUUCUGUAUUUCUGAGUUCAUUUUGUAGUUGAAAACACCAUUAGGAACUGAGUUCCAGACCCUUCUUGCGGUAUAAUGCUCUACCUCCCGUUUGAGCAUUUUAGUAGCAUAUUUGUCCAAUACGUCUUCCAAGUCAUAAGCUAAGUCCCUGAGAUCAUCCAGCCAAAGCUUCAGCGGCUUGCUCUCGGUGAUUAGUUGCCUCUCCUCCGCCUCAUUCAGAACCGCUCCAAUUGCAGACAAGGUGGCAGUCCAUUUCUGCAGCUUUUGGUCGACGCCCUUUAUGAGUCCAAAGUACUUGAACACCUCACGACGCGCCAACUUGUCGACCAGCACUUGAAGGAAUGCCACAAGAUAAGCCUCUCCCAUAGUUUCUGGAGAAAAGCGAGCAAUCAAAGAAAAUGUAAGGAGUUGUUUCUUGAAGCAGCUUGAUUAGAAAUGCAUAAACUGAAACAAGCUAAAUUAGAAAUGCAAUAAAGAAAAGGAAUUUUGAGCAGACAAAAUAAAAUACAAGAAACUAAAAAAAAACAAAAAACAAAAGGCACCAAACAGAAUAAAUCAGAAGUACCUGUAGUUUAAGUAUAUGAUAUUUAUCAGCAGCAGAUUUCUUCACGAAUUACCGAAGGUGUCGCAAUGAACAAGAAGGAAAAUCCAAAGGCAAUACACAGUUACACACUUAUAGAACCAAAGAGAUCAAGAGAGCCAGAACCAAGACAUAAUAAAUAUGAAGAUGGAUGAAACUAAUUAUGGGUUUGAGAAUUUUGAGUUGACGGAAAAGACUCCGAAACAAAGACUGUAGAUAAGGAAAACGCAAUGCAAAUUCCCCAGCCUUUACAUAGAAAAAGUAGAAUGCUUAUUUACUUUGUUUUGGUCAAAAUGAAAAGUAGAAGCUGAUAAUUGAGUUUUGAAUCAUUGGAGUGUCUAGUCUAUUCUAAUGGCCCAGCUCCAGCUCAUGCCGCGUCCUUCUGUCUCAUUACGUUUGAUUCUGACAUGGUUUAUUUUUAAAAUCACUCACAUCACACUUGCUUUUGUCCAGCCACAUAUUAUGAUUAAUUUCACCAAUAAAUUUUGAUGAGGUUGGUCACAUAUUGGUUCUCCCUCACUCUCAUUUCAUGGAAGUUCAAACGGGCUCUAAGAUAAAUACGUCAAUGGCUAUAAAUUCACAUAUUUUUUUUCGCAUUUCCUUUUUGGUUAAAUCUUGACACAUAUGGACUGUAACAGUCUAAAUGACCAAUCCAACUCUUAGAAUGUCAUCUAAAUACCUAGAUUUGUAAUCAGCCAUAUAUAUCCUCACACUACAAGAUCGCUGGAAGGUACUUAUAAUGUAUCCUGCUGUGAGAUUAUAUUGUAUAAACCUGUCAACUCAACUGAAUAUAGAAUCCUCUAGGCAACAAAAAGUCUAAUAAGACCUAAAAACAAUGGGGUGACAUGUCAACACCAAAAGAAUAUAAAAAGUUCAGAGUGGAAAGAAAUAAAAAGAAAACAAACGAUGAAGAUGUCAGCGCAACCAAAUUGGUAUAUACAAUUUAGUGCCUAACCGACUGAGGAUUGAGGUAAAAAAAAUAAAAAAUAAAAACAAAGUCCCCAAGACUUUUCAUCCUGCCGACACCAAAGUUACAGAAAUUACUGUGUUUGAUUUUUGGAUUCCUUUAACUGCUGCCACCAGCACGUUACAUAGAAAAAGUAGAAAGCUUUUUUUUUUUUUUUUUUUUCCGGUCAAAAAGAAAAGUAGAAUCUGAUAAUUGAGUUUUGAAUAGUUUGUCUAGUCUAAUGGCCCAGCUCAUGCUGCGUUCUUCCUGUAAGUGAGCAACAAAUUUGGACUGAAGAAGGAGAACAGCUCCAGCACUGCAUUCUUCCUGUAAGUGAGUUUUCAAUCAAGUCUAGUGUUAGUCUAAUGGCCCAGCUCCAGCACUGCUUCUGUUUGACUCUGUUUUCAACUCACUCACAUCACACUUGCUUUUGUCCAACCCCGUUAUGAAUUCACCAAUAAAAUUUAGUGCCGAAUAUAUGAACCCUUUCUUUGGACGACAACGACCAUGAAAUUGCAGAAGACCAUAAAAUUAUUUCGUUCAGGGCGCCACUGGCUCCAUAACCAAUUCAGGUACAAGGUCCUUCUUAAGCCUUCUCUUCAACGCAAAAUGAACAUGUGCUACCAAUUCACCUUUUUCCGACCAAAAAACCAAGAAGAAAAAUACACGAGUAAAUCAAACUUUUUUUUUUUUUUUAAUACUUAUUUUAUUUAUACAUAAUUUCUAACUAUUGUGCAAGUUCAAUGUUCAAGCAACCGUAACAUGAUGGACUUGUGCAAUUUUGGUUCAUCGAAGUAAUUGAGAACUCUGAUUUUGUUGAAUGUCCAAACACUCUUGAAUAAUGAAAUUGUACACAAAGAAUUACACACUCUCUUCGAUAUUGAAGUUAGAUAAAUACUUUAAAAUGUAGGUUUUGAGUUAAUUUUGUUUUUUUAUUUAUUAUAUAGUUUUCCUUAAAAUAUAUGUUAUUUUAAGUAAUUAAGAAAAAUUAAAAACUAAAAUGUAAUAUUUUUCUUCUUCUUAAUAAUAAAGCAAGACUUCGUUUCAAACUAAAAUAUAUACAUUUAUAUAUUAUUUAUAAUUCUGGUUUGCUUUUAUAUAUAGUUCUGGUUUGCUUCUAGCUCAAAGAUAAAAACCUAAAAAGAUUCCUUUAACUGCUGCCACCAGCACGUUACAUGGUAAAGUAGAAGCUGAUAAUUGAGUUCUGAAUCAUUGGAGUGUCUAGUCUAUUCUAAUGGCCCAGCUCCAGCUCAUGCUACGUCCUUUCUGUCUGAUUAUGUUUGAUCCUGACAUGAUGUUUUUUACUCUCCCUCACAUCACACUUACGCUUGUCCAGCCACAUAUAAUUAUGAUUAAUUUCACUAAUAAGCAAGGCUAAACUAAUCAUAGCAGACCAUUUCAUUAAAUUUAAGUGAAUUUAUUAUUCAGAUAAAUCACGUGACUAAUAUAAAAAUUCACAUAUGUGGUCUAUAUAUAGUACCACCACCGUAAAACAACUUUUUAUUUACAUAUUCGGAAUUAAAUAAGGAAAAUAACAUCCUACUUAUUUUUAAAAUAUAAAUUAAACAAUAAAUUAAUAUAAAUUUGGCAAAGAAUCCUAUGUGCUUCAAACUUAAUCAAACAACUCAAAAAUCUCACCGAUACAUCCCUCAAAUAGGAUUUAGGAUUAUGAAUAAUUCAGUAUAUUUCUAUUCUUCUCAUAAGGAGAUAUUUAUAGUGAUACAAAUACAAGCCAAUCUAGAAAGUACUUAAAAUAAGAAAUAAAAGAAAUAAAUACAAUCCCAGUCAAACCGGUAUACCUAUAAUUACAAAUCAAUUAUAAUAAAGGUAAUUGUCAAUAAUUCCUAUUGUGAUUCAGCGAUUCACACUGGAAAUAUCCAUUUUCUCACCAUAAUUGACCCAGAUCUCGUCCUACAUCACAGAGAAUUUGAAAAAACAUUGAAGUCAAGCAAACAAAAGAAAGAAAAAUAUGGCUAAAAGUUUUCUCAGCAGAGAGAUGACAAAAUAAUAUUACAAGGCAAACCAAGUGAGUAAUGAAGUACUUUCUUUUCCUAUAUAUUUUUCAAAUGUUCUGCCUUCAAAUUCUGAUCGCAUGUUUGCAAGUGCCUAUUAAAAGGAAGAGCCUUUUAAGUCUUCCCAUUUCCUGAAUUUAAAAUAUAUCAUAAAGAGAAAUAAAGAUGGAUUUACCAUUUGUUCGAUAAAUCGUUGUCGUCCAGCAUGGGGGAGUCCCGCUUGAAGCAAUUGUAGAUGAAAAAGAACCACCUGGGAAACAUAAUAAGACACUUUAUUAUUUCACGGUUACCAUUAAAGGUUGAUAGUGUUUGAAAUUUGAAGUACCUGGGGAGAGUUGGAUAUAUCUCUAGGUAAGGAAUGUGGGAUAUUUUGUGCCAGUAUGGUCCAAAGACACAAGAUCUUUGCGACUCAGUUAUGACCCAAAAUAUCUUUGGACACCCAGAGAUCCAAAAUUGUGAAAGUGAAAGAGUCGGGGCCACUGGAAUAGAUGCCAGCUUUGGACAAUUCCAGAGUUGAAGACAUUGAAGAGAGGUGAGGAAUUGAAAGCCCUUGCUGCUCAGUUUCUUCAAAUUUGGGAAGCACCCAAUUGUGAGAUGAGUGAGAGAUUCGGGGAGCAGCAUCUCCAUAUCCAUAUCUGUGUCUCCUUCGGGUGGAAACGACACCACAUAUGGGUCUUCGCCAUCGACCCACAACAUUGUAAGAGAGGUGAGCCUGUGCAACAACUCCCACAUCGGCUUACAAUUCUUAAUUCCGCCGAUUACAAGUGAUGUUAGGUUGGAGGGAAAGGAAGUGAAAUUUAAACCUUCACCGUAAUCAAUAUUCAAUUCCUGAAGACAGUUGAGAUUGCCCAUAUCCGGUAACAUCUCCAAUUUGUUGCAAUUUUUUAUGAUGAUUCGUCUCAGGCUGGAGGCGGCUGUUGUUGUUGGCGAAAGCAAACCCUCACCACUCAGGCUCGGGAUGGAAACCAGACUCCCACAAUCAUAAAUCUGUAAAGUUUGAAGAUUGGUGAGGUGGCAUAGGCCCUCCGGUAUGGAUUUCAGAUUUUGGCAAAAACUGAUGCUAAUAUAUUCAAGACAAUAAUUAGUGUUGUCGUGGGAGAACCCAUCGAACGUUAUUAACUGCAGCUCUCCACAAUGGGAUAUGUGAAGGCUUUUAAGCGCCUUGGGAAACAACUGGGCUCUCAAUGAUAACGACGUUAGAGAUUCACAUUCCCGUAUAUCCAAGUAUCGAAGAGAAAUAUGAGAAGAAGUGGAAGACGAAGAACCCACCUCCUCCUCUACAAAUGACUUCAAACUUUUACACCGCAUUAUCUUUAUUCUUCUUAGAUUUGGGGGAAUCUGGUAUUUUGCAAAAUACAGCAACGAAUCACACUCCUCAAUCCUUAUGACUUCAACGGAAGGAGGAAAACCAACAUCUGGAAAAGAAACCAGACUUGAGCAUCCAAUUAUUUGAAGGUCUUGAAGAGCCGUUAAGUGGUGCAACCCUUCUGGUACCUUCGAAAGACUUGCACAAUAGUUUAAUUGUAGAUAUUUAAGCUUGCAAGUCAAUAUUUGCAAUUGCAGCAAUUCCUCUGCUUCUUUUCCCAGCUUUUCAAGGAGGGA
rnacentral:lncRNA from 1 species